GCACUGUGUUAUAACAUGACAUUAUCAUUCUUGAUUCAGCAAAUGAGCAGCUUUGGUUUUGAGCUGGUUGCAUUUGACUGAUAGCAACAACAAAAUUGUUUCAGAUCAAACCUAUGAAGAAAUCCAACCAUCAUCGUGGAAUUUCAUUAACAACAAUCAAGUGACGAAAGCUAAUGAAGGGCUCCCACAACAUUUUUUGUGAUAAGAAAUUCUCUGUGUUAUGAAAUCAUGCAAAUGUGGCCUGAAAUAUUAUGAAACCAAUGACAAAGACAUCUUGGAAUUUAUUGUCCUAUUUUAAACUGGCAAUCACGCUAAACCACUAUUUCAUCUUUUUUCCCUUCUCACGACACCACAGCUCAACCCCUUUUGAAACAGUGUUUCCAAUCCACUUAAAGCAGUAUAGACUAAAUGCUUAAAGUUUUUCCGCACAUACAAAUCUUUCUCGUCUGUUCUGUAGCACUGCUGUCUUACAAGAAAACUUUUUUGUGCUUGGGAACAUACUGAAAAAAAUUGAAUCCCACAAAGUUAAAAAAAAAAAGAGCCUAUAUAUUUUGUGAGGUGGCUGCAGCUAAAUUAUCAACUAUUCAAAAUACUUAACAAGCCAGUCAAGGCCAGCGGGAAUUCCAAAAGAUAAACGUGGCAUGCAGUGGCGUGUCUGAUCUACGAGGUGUGGUUUUGGUGGAUUUUCUCAUUGGAAAACAAGUGUGUGGUCUCCGGUCAGUGAUCCUGUUAAAUUCCAACAUCAAUAAAUGUCGACCAAUUCUUUGUCUUUCUGCUUUGGUGUUUGGUUCUGGAUCAUAUUGAAGGUGAGGCCCACCAGGUGCACUGUAACGCUUUUCUAAACUCUCCAGUCUGAGGUCAGGAGCUGAAGAUAAACACUGGGGUAAAGAAGGACACUUUGGCUAUAGAAAUGAG